UAUCCAAACCGGCGGUCUCUCACUGCGCUGGCUGCGGCUGGGUAUUUGCAUAGUGGGCGGCAUCCAGUAACUUUCCUAGCCGCGGUUCCAGCGAGGCCAACCUGCGCUGUGGCAGCAGCUGUACUUAGAAUAGAUGAAAUGGCCUGGUGUUGUAGGGAAAGGGGGAGCACGGACACCACGGACAGGACGGAUGCUCCAGCCCACCACCAAACUGUCUCGGCAUCCCGGCGUACCAAUCCGCCUCUGCCAAUAGACAGAGCCGUAAGACAAUACUUACCUACUCUUGAAAAAGCAUGUCAGGGAGAUGUGAAAGUAACACCUAUCAGCGCGGACGUGUACCGCUACAUCGGAGAGGGCAAGAGCAGGACCGCUUCAGAGAGGAAUCCAGUUCUGAGGAUCCAGCGUCACGAUCUCUCAACCUUCCAUGGUACGAAAAGCCAGGGAUGAGGGGAGGAAAACUCCACGUGCUGAAGUCCUGGUUUGAUUGAAGGCAUUGUACAUGAAUAACACUGACACACUGUGUGCCGUGAGGCCAUGCCCCCUUUCCCAAAGAGACCACAUCCAUUAUAGGGCGAUCACCUUCGGUGUUUAAAGAGACCCUAAUUUGGUGUUAGAGGUUGUGGGAUGGAGAUGGGGGGGGGGGGGGGGCAAAGCGUAUCGCUGUACCUGGGCCCACCACUCAGUAAUUCCGCCGCUGCGCAGCAGAGCUGUUCGCACCUGCACACUUUACAAGCAGUAAUGACACUCACCUACUAAAUGUUUUUCAUAACAGAGCAUUGAGAUGACUAUAUAAGAACAAUUCAGUAUAGAUAAUGUUUUCUUGUUAAACUCAUAUAUCACAGGGUGCACACAGACCCAUAGUCAUAACGUCUUUACAACAAACAUUUACAUGCAGCAAGUACACCUAGGUGCCAUAAAUGCACUAUUAUCACCUCCUUUACAGUCUGGCAUUUAAAUGGAUUAGAACAUAAAUG